rnacentral:rRNA from 1 species
UGAGCAAUCUGCCCUUCUCUUCGGAAUAAGCGUUGGAAACGACGUCUAAUGCCGAAUACGACCUCCUUUCGCAUGAUCGGAGGUGGAAAGCUCCGGCGGAGAAGGAUGAGCUCGCGGCCUAUCAGCUAGUUGGUGUGGGUAAUGGCCCACCAAGGCGACGACGGGUAGCCGGCCUGAGAGGGUGACCGGCUACACUGGGACUGAGACACGGCCCAGACCUCCGUACGGGAGGCAG